rnacentral:rRNA from 1 species
AUUGAACGCUGGCGGCAUGCCUAACACAUGCAAGUCGAGCGGAUGAAGGGAGCUUGCUCCUGGAUUCAGCGGCGGCCGGGUGAGUAAUGCCUAUGAAUCUGCCUGGUAGUGGGGUAUAACGUCCGGAAACGGGCGCUAAUACUGCAUACGUCCUGAUGUCGAAAGUGGGGGAUCUUCGGACCUCAGGGUCUCAGAUGAGGCUAGGUCGGAUUAGCUAGGUGGUUGGGGAAAUGCCUACCAAGGCGGCGAUCCGUAAAUGGUGUGAGAGCAUGGUCAGUCAACCUGGAAGUGAGGCUGGGUCCUGACUCUUACGGUAGGCCGCAGUGGGGAAUAUUGGACGAUGGCGGAGAGCCUAAUCCAGCCAUGCCGCCUGUGUGAAGAUGGUGUUCCGAUUCUAAAGUGAUUUAAGUCGGGAGGAAGGGCAGUAAGUUAAUACGUGACUGUUUUGACGUUACCAGCAGAAUAAGCACCGGCUAACUUCGUG